CAAGUUGUGACCAAUAUUGUGGUUGAAAAGAAGAGACAAAAUGGCAUUUUGGGGGAUUGAAGUGAAGCCAGGCAAACCAUACACUCAUCGGUACAAUCGUGGAAGGCUUAAAAUUACCCAGGCAACAAUGUCAUAUUCCAAUCCUCUUUCACCAAAGAAAAGUGUAG